AGAGACUGCCUUUAUCUUUCUUCUCUGACCCUGAGCCAUCGGGGCUAUUCUGGGCCCUAGCUCUGGCCAGAGAUAUCAGAACAGACUUCACAACAAGACAAGCCUAGUGGAAGCCAGGUCUCUCCUCUUCAAGGCUGCAGAGCCCUUCACACCAGAGAAGCAGCUCAGAGGAGAACCAGGGUUGGAUGCUGUGCCCUGUCACGUCCAAAGUCCACACCACGAAACAGAGCGACCAGUGCCAGGAAGGUGCUAUUGAGAGCUCCGUGGGGGAGAAUCCCCAGUGGUCACCAGAGACCUCGACAAAGGACAUUUCCAGGAGCUUCAGGAUGGAUAUCGAAUCCUCCUAUUCGCUGAGAAGCGACCACUCUGUGUUACUGGAAAGUCUCCAAGGGAAAUUGCCUCAUGCGGAAGGGAAAGAGGCUGGUCGAACAGAAAAGAAUCACUUCCCCCCAGCUUUGGCGCGGGACCCACCCAAAAAGGAGAGGAAUUGUCCAGAGCCUUUCGAGGUCUGGCAUUUAUGCGUCCCAUUUAACGAGGGCCCACCACACAGCAGGCACGGUUCGAAGGGCAGGAGAUCCCGCGGAGAGCAAGACAGACAAGGACCUGGCCCACAAGGCCUUCCAUUCUAGUGGGGAGAGAGACCAAACCCAGAUAAACCUGAGGCGGCGAACUCCUACGGUUACCAAAGGGAAAACCAUCUGGGGGAAUGAAGAACUGUAACGAUGGGAGUAACACAUCCUCACGCCGUGUGAAAUAGAUAAACGACAAGAACCUACGUAUUGCACAGGAAGAUUUUCUCCAUCGUUUCUAAUAACCGAUAUGGGGGAAGAAAGAAUGGAUAUGUUUAUAUGUGUUCACUUUGCUGUACACCGGAAACGAAUACAGCAUUGUACAUCGACUAUAUGCCAAUCCAAUUAAAUUAAAAAACAUACUAGGUGGUGAUCACUGCUAUAUUGAGAAAAAAAGAAAAGACAGGAAUACUGGGUGGCCAGGGCUGGGGGAGGGCGGUUGCUGGUUUCAAUGGGUUGAUGGUCAGGAAAUGGCCCAUUGAAGAGAGGACUUUUGAACAGAGAGCUGGAGGAAAUGAGGGUGGUGGCCUUGCAGGGACCUAAAGGAGGUCAGUCUGGGUGGAGGGAAGAACAUGGGCCCCUGGAGGGAGAGGGAACUCAGCCUAUGCUCGAAAGAGCAAUGAGGGAAGUUCUCAUCAUGCCUCAGCAGUCACGAACCUGACUAG